AGAGUUUGAUCCUGGCUCAGGACGAACGCUGGCGGCGUGCCUAACACAUGCAAGUCGAACGGGACUGGGGGCAACUCCAGUUCAGUGGCGGACGGGUGCGUAACACGUGAGGAACAUGACUUCGUGGGGGAUAGCCGGCCCAACGGCCGGGUAAUACCGCGUACGACCUGUCGGGGACAUCCCCGGUUGGUGAAAGCAGCAAUGCGCCGAAAGAGUGCCUCGCGGCCUAUCAGCUAGUUGGUGGGGUAAUGGCCCACCAAGGCGACGACGGGUAGCUGGUCUGAGAGGAUGGCCAGCCACAUUGGGACUGAGACACGGCCCAGACUCCUACGGGAGGCAGCAGUGGGGAAUAUUGCGCAAUGGGCGAAAGCCUGACGCAGCGACGCCGCGUGUGGGAUGACGGCCUUCGGGUUGUAAACCACUGUCGGGAGGGACGAAUGCGCCGCAAGGCGAGUGACGGUACCUCCAAAGGAAGCACCGGCUAACCCCGUG
rnacentral:rRNA from 1 species